GACGAACGCUGGCGGCGUGCUUAACACAUGCAAGUCGAACGGAAAGGCCUCUUUCGGGGGGUACUCGAGUGGCGAACGGGUGAGUAACACGUGAGUAACCUGCCCUUGUCUUUGGGAUAACUUCCGGCAACUGGGGCUAAUACCGGAUAGGAGCUCCUGCUGCCUGGUGGGGGUUGGAAAGUUUCGGCGGUUGGGGAUGGACUCGCGGCUUAUCCGCUUGUUGGUGGGGAAGUGGCUUACCAAGGCUUUGACGGGUAGCCGGCCUGAGAGGGUGACCGGCCACACUGGGACUGAGAGACGGCCCAGACUCCUACGGGAGGCAGCAGUGGGGAAGAUUGCACAAGGGGUGGAAGCCUGAUGCAGCAACGCCGUGUGCGGGAUGACGGCCUUCGGGUUGUAAACCGCAUUCGCUCAUGACGAAGCUUUGUGUGACGGUAGUGGGUAAAGAAGCACCGGCUAACUACGUG
rnacentral:rRNA from 1 species